rnacentral:lncRNA from 7 species
AAUAUGUGACAAGGAGACAAGCAAUCCAUGGAGAAUGGCAGUGGAUAAGAUGCAGAUAAGCAAGAAAGAGAAAUUAAGGAUGAAAAGACAGAGCAGUUUCUGAAAAGUCAGAUUGUGCACUUCAGAAUAAUACCAUAAAGGCUCAUCACUUUAAUCAGUUAUUGAUUACACCGUGGGGACUUUCUACAGAUUCCACUCAAUGCUGCUUUUAAAAUGCCUUUGGCAGCAUCUGAAAGAAUGACACUGCAGUGAAAUCCAUAACAAAGACUGCAAGCAGAUGUCAUGACAAGAGGAGAACAGCAUCUUGCAAAGAAGAAAAGUGACCAGACAGUGAUACGUUGUGAUGAUGAAACAAGCACUGGUGAGAACAAAGAACAAUGAAACCAUACAAUUACACUGUUUCCUCAUCCAAAUUUCUAAACAGCUUCAUUCAUUCAAAGCCCCUCCUUAUAAACUGAUAACAAGGAACACUUAAUUAUAUGACUAAAAGAUGAAGGAAACAAUGAAAAAAGAAAUCACAAGGCCAGGCUUAGAUAACAUAGUCUGCUAACAUGGGAUAUAUUUACUUGCUGCUCUAGACAUAACUUUUUUCCACAUUAUCCUGAACCAGUACAUUUUCACAAUCUCUGUAAUCACUUUCAUCAAGGUAUUUAAUCAUAUUUAAUAUCUUGUGUUCAAAGUAAUAAGAGCAGCUACUCAAUAGGGCUUGCCAUGCACUAAGGGCUUCUGAGUGACAGCUGGUUGACGUCACUAUUUUUUGUGUCUAGGUCAGCUACACAAAUUUACACAUAAGAAAUGUGCACAAAUAAAUGCACAUUCCGUACACUAUUUGAAAGGCCAGGGUAUAUCUUCAACUUUCCUCUCUCUUUACGCAUAUGUGUACCACACAAUAUAUGUCCCAUGUUUACAUUAGGAUGGAUAUAUGGAUUGUACUGGAUUCACCUAAGAUCUAUUCCUUCAUGGUCAUCCAGAAAGGGGUCUCUGGUCCCCACAACUAAUAGCAAAGUUCUGUUCUUCCAUUCUUGUGAUUAUUGUGUAUUAGUACCCAGGGGUUGUGGACACGUGUUCAUAUACUGACCUGCAUAGCUUAGACAUGAUCCUAAGGAGUUACAAACACAUUCUGAGGAGUCACCGAAAGAAAAUCAGAAAGGAGCAUAAAGUGAAAACAAUGUGAAAACCCUACAUAUUUAAUCACAUUAAAUAAAUCCAUGCAUUUCACCAAACUCCUUGUGUAAAAUCCCAAUCACUCAAAUCGAUGACCUAUGACAUAAACCUCUCAAAAUGACACGACAACAUUCAAGUCUUUUCCCUCACCAAAAUGCCUUCUAUAGAAUGACAUCUUUCCUAUGAAGCAGUCUUUAAGUGUCCUAGGUUAAUUCCUCAAGGAAUAUAUCACAAAGAAAGUACAAUUGGCUCUUUAUUUGUUUUAAUCCUAGGAGAUAGAUUGCAGUAAUGUCCCAUGCACAAUGCAGCUGCAAACAUCUGCAUAAGACAAGGCUCUUCCUACCUUAUAUUCAUUAAGUACGUAAGAUUUUCUCUCUGCCUUUAUAACUACUGAUAUAAUUGCCAUAUAACUGCUGAGUCAACUUAUCCCCAAACCUACUCCAAAUUAUGAAACUGCAGUACCCAUAGUAUCUUACAUCACUACAGUUCUUGGCCUAUAUUGUUCAGUGUGGAAAACAACAGAAAUUGAAGAAUAAGCAGCACUUCUGCAGUGCAUUUCUCAUUUGCCAUUUCUUUAUAGCACUGUGCAUUGGUAUUCCAGAUAAGUAUUUAAUUACUCAUAAUAAACUAUUUUAUAAUUUACAUGUAUAAGAACCGUGCUGUGCUAGAAUAUGUAACAUAAAUAGCAGUAUUGUACUUUUGUACCAUAAACAUAAAUCAUCUUGUUAAUUAGAUACUCACAUUUGGGCAUCAGCCUUUAAUCUCAUGCUUCAUUGACUAGGAAACAGUCACAUUUGUUUCUGGGCUUCCUAAUUGUGAUAUAUUUCUCUGAUAUAUAAUAGUCAGUCAAACCAACCUGAUUCUUAAGAUCUUCUGAUAUGAAGUGGUGGCUGAGGAACUCAAAGGCAUCCUGGCUGUGAGCUACACUUCUCAUUGUCCUUUACAUGAGGUUGUCAACAAUCAUUGUCUCAUGACUCCAUGUGUAGAAUUGUUGGUACGUGUAACAUCUGAGUGAAUGAUGAAAAAUAAAAUAUUAGCCAACU